AUACGUAUGAUGCAAGCGUUAUCCGGAUUUACUGGGUGUAAAGGGAGCGUAGGCGGCAAGGCAAGUCUGAUGUGAAAACCCGGGGCUCAACCCCGGGACUGCAUUGGAAACUGCUUAGCUAGAGUGUCGGAGAGGUAAGUGGAAUUCCUAGUGUAGCGGUGAAAUGCGUAGAUAUUAGGAGGAACACCAGUGGCGAAGGCGACCUACUGGACGAUAACUGACGCUGAGGCUCGAAAGCGUGGGGAGC
rnacentral:rRNA from 1 species